UACAGAGGGGGCAAGCGUUGUUCGGAAUUACUGGGCGUAAAGGGCGCGCAGGCGGCCCGGAAAGUCGGAUGUGAAAACUCGAGGCUCAACCUCGAGCGUGCACCCGAUACUGCCGGGCUUGAGGCAGGUAGGGGAGAUCGGAAUUCCUGGUGUAGCGGUGGAAUGCGCAGAUAUCAGGAAGAACACCCGUGGCGAAGGCGGCUCUCUGGGACGGUAUUGACGCUGAGGCGCGAAAGCGUGGGGAGCAAACAGG
rnacentral:rRNA from 1 species